CAGGGCCCGGGCGGGCGCCUGCUGUCUGCCCAGAGCCGGCCUUUGUACA
rnacentral:sRNA from 1 species